rnacentral:rRNA from 1 species
AACGAACGCUGGCGGCAUGCCUAACACAUGCAAGUCGAACGAGACCUUCGGGUCUAGUGGCGCACGGGUGCGUAACGCGUGGGAACCUGCCCUUAGGUUCGGAAUAACUCCCCGGAAGGGGUGCUAAUACCGGAUAAUGUCUUCGGACCAAAGAUUUAUCGCCUUUGGAUGGGCCCGCGUUGGAUUGGCUAGUUGGUAGGGUAAAAGCCUACCAAGGCGACGAUCCAUAGCUGGUCUGAGAGGAUGAUCAGCCACACUGGGACUGAGACACGGCCCAGACCCCCUCCGGGAGGCAGCAGUGGGGAAUAUGGGAAAAGGGGCGAAGGCUUGACCAGCUCGUCCCGCGGGGGUGAUAAGGGCCUUAGGGUGGAAAAACUCUUUUACCGGGGAUGAAAAGGACGGUGCGGGAAGAAUAAGCCCCGCCUAACUCCGUC